AAAUCUGCUAGCCAAUCAGGACGCAUGUAAAACUCAGACAGCCAAUAAGGAGUCGUGUAACACUCAGGUAGCCAAUCAGGAGGCGUGUAACACUCAGCCAGCAAAUCAGGAGGCGUGUAACACUUAGACAGCCAUUCAGGGGGCGUCUAACACUCAGACAGCCAAUCAGGAGGCGUGUAACACUCAAACAGCCAAUCAGGGGGCGUGUAACAGUCAGCCAGCCAAUCAGGAGGCGUGUAACACUCAGGCAGCCAAUAAGGAGGCGUGUCACACUCAGCCAGCCAAUCAGGAGGCGUGUAACACUCAGCUACUAAUCAGGAGGCGUGUCACACUCAGCCAGCCAAUCAGGAGGCCUGUAACACUCAGCCAGCCAAUCAGGAGGCGUGUAACACUCAGCUACUAAUCAGGAGGCGUGUCACACUCAGACAGCCAAUCAGGAGGCGUGUAACACUCAGGCAGCCAAUCAGGAGGCCUUUGACAUUCAGCCAGCCAAUCAGGAGACGUUUAACACUCAGCCAACCAAUCAGGAGGCAUGUAACACUCAGCCAGCCAAUCAGGAGGCGUGUAACACUUAGACAGCCAAUCAGGGGGCGUGUCACACUCAGACAGCCAAUCAGCGUGUCACACUCAGCCAGCCAAUCAGGAGGCGUGUAACACUCAGGCAACCAAUCAGGAGACGUUUAACACUCAGCCAACCAAUCAGGAGGCAUGUAAAACUCAGCCAGCCAAUCAGGAGGCGUGUAACACUUAGACAGCCAAUCAGGGGGCGUGUGACACUCAGCCAUCCAAUCAGGAGGCGUGUAACACUCAGACAGCCAAUCAGGAAGCAUGUUACACUCAGCCAGCCAAUCAGGAGGCUUGUAACACUCAGGAAGCCAAUCAGGAGGCGUGUAACACUCACCUAGCCAAUCAGGAGGUGUGUAACACUCAGCCAGCAAAUCAGGAGGCGUGUAACACUCAGGCAGCCAAUCAGGAGGCGUGUAACACUCAGGCAGCCAAUUAGGAGGCGUGUAACACUCAGCCAACCAAUCAGGAGGCGUGUAACACUCAGGUAGCCAAUCAGGAAGCCUUUGACACUCAGCUAGCCAAUCAGGAGGUGUGUAACACUCAAACAGCCAAUCAGGGGGCGUGUAACACUCAGCUACUAAUCAGGAGGCGUGUCACACUCAGCCAGCCAAUCAGGAGGCAUGUAACACUCAGAGAGCCAAUCAGGAGGCAUGUAACACUCAGCCAGCCAACCAGGAGGCGUGUCACACUCAGGAAGCCAAUCAGGAGGCGUGUAACACUCAGCUACCAAUCAGGAGGCGUGUAACACUCAGCAAGCCAAUCAGGAGGCGUGUAACACUCAGCUAGCCAAUCAGGAGGCGUGUAACACACGGAAAGCAAAUCAGCGUGUCACACUCAGCCAGCCAAUCAGGAGGCGUAUAAAACUCAGACAGCCAAUCAGGGGGCAUGUAACACUCAGCCAGCCAAUCAGGAGGCGUGUAACACUCAGACAGCCAAAAGGUUGGCGUGACACACUUAAGCAGCCAAGUAGGAGGCGUGUAACACUCUUGUAGCCAAUCUGGAGGCGUUUAACAUUCAGCCAGCCAAUAAGGAGGCAUGUCACACUAGGCCAGCAAAUCAGGAGGCGUGUAACAUUCAGCUACCACUCAGGAGGCGUGUAACACUCAGCCAGCCAAUCAGGAGUCAUGUAACACUCAGCUAGCCAAUCAGGAGGCGUAUAAAACUCAGACAGCCAAUCAGGGGGCUUGUAACACUCAGCCAGCCAAUCAGGAGGCGUGUAACACUCAGACAGCCAAAAGGGUGGCGUUACACACUUAAGCAGCCAAGUAGGAGGCGUGUAACACUCUUGUAGCCAAUCUGGAGGCGUGUAACACUCAGGUAGCCAAUCAGGAAGCCUUUGACACUCAGCUAGCCAAUCAGGAGGUGUGUAACACUCAAACAGCCAAUCAGGGGGCGUGUAACAGGCAGCCAGCCAAUCAGGAGGCGUGUAACACUCAGCCAGCCAAUCAGGAGGCGUGUAACACUCAGCUAGCAAAUCAAGAGGCGUGUAACACUCAGACAGCAAAUCAGGGGGCGUGUAACACUCAGCCAGCCAAUCAGGGUGCGCGUAACACUCAGCCAGCCAAUCAGGAAGCGUGUAAAAAUCUGCUAGCCAAUCAGGACGCAUGUAAAACUCAGACAGCCAAUAAGGAGUCGUGUAACACUCAGGUAGCCAAUCAGGAGGCGUGUAACACUCAGCCAGCAAAUCAGGAGGCGUGUAACACUUAGACAGCCAUUCAGGGGGCGUCUAACACUCAGACAGCCAAUCAGGAGGCGUGUAACACUCAAACAGCCAAUCAGGGGGCGUGUAACAGUCAGCCAGCCAAUCAGGAGGCGUGUAACACUCAGGCAGCCAAUAAGGAGGCGUGUCACACUCAGCCAGCCAAUCAGGAGGCGUGUAACACUCAGCUACUAAUCAGGAGGCGUGUCACACUCAGCCAGCCAAUCAUGAGGCCUGUAACACUCAGCCAGCCAAUCAGGAGGCGUGUAACACUCAGCUACUAAUCAGGAGGCGUGUCACACUCAGACAGCCAAUCAGGAGGCGUGUAACACUCAGGCAGCCAAUCAAGUGGCCUUUGACAUUCAGCCAGCCAAUCAGGAGACGUUUAACACUCAGCCAACCAAUCAGGAGGCAUGUAACACUCAGCCAGCCAAUCAGGAGGCGUGUAACACUUAGACAGCCAAU